CUUUUUCAUCUUGCCGAUUUUAUUUAUUUAUUUAUUUUUUAUACAAUGGAUUGUUUUACAGUCGGAUUCUUUCCCCAUUUUUACACGCAAUCACCCUCCCCCCCUUCCAUUCCGUCUGGCUCCAUUUUCCACUACUGCACCACCAUACCCAGAAUCCGCCACUCGUUACCAUAAUCAUCGUUUUGUAGGGCAAAGCUCUAACUUUAAAUUUAAAAAAAUGUUAUCUUUCUUGCAUCUUCUUGACCUGAGUUUAAGCUCGCAGAAGAGGGCAAAACCUUACCUUCUUCUCACUUGAUUUAUUGUGGAGCUAGAUAGUUUGCUCUGGUAUCAUGGCUUUCUUAGUUGAGAUCUCGGAAGAAAAGCACCAAUUUUCGCCAAAGGUGUUCUCCGGUCGACGACUUUCAGCCAAAUGUGGCUGUCCUAUUCCUCGAAAACUACACUCUCCCUUCAAAAUCAGGUGCUUCUUUGGAAUUCCGUUAAUUCGAUGAUUUUCUUAAACAAUUUGAAGAUAAUUUUGCAGUAACCGAUUUUGUUUCGAUUACAAAUUUGAUGUGUGUUUGUGGUGGGUUCAACGAUAGAGGAUGUUUUCAAAUCUGUUGAAAGUUUUACUCAAUUUAAGGAGUUCAGGAGUGUGGCUUGUGGCGUUCUUGCUGUUUGGGUUUUGACUGCUGCCUCGCCUAUAAAUGCAGCUGAUCAAAUCAAAAUUUAACAGCCUUUUCUUAGUUAAGUUUUGCAAUUAAGUUUUGCAUUUUUAUUGUGAUUUACCAUUGAUAGAAAAAUGCUUGGGAAUAAAAUUAAUACUUGAGGUAAUUUCUUGUCAUUACUGACCAUUAAUAUUGAAAUUCUUGUUUCACAAAUGAUCUAGCUACAACAACAAACAUUUAAAUGUGUAUUAGGAUUUAUUUUUGUUUGAGAGUUAAUCUAUUGCGACUCUCUUCCUGUAUCCUUAACGUUGUUCUGGGACGAUUUAUGUAAAAUAUGGGCUGAGUUUCUGAAAUGAUAUGCCAUUUGAGAUAAGAAGUGGUGGAAUUAAUUGAAAUGUGUAGGAGUUUGAUUUGCAGAGGCUACCGCCUGUCAAGAGAUAUGAUGGAAGCAGAGUAAUGUUGAGAAGCACCUCCUUCGGAAAAGUUUCACAGAUUAGUAGAUGCCUGGCAUUCCCUAGAAUUACAAUGGUAGUUGCAAUUAUUAAUAAGGACUUCUUGUUUCCACCUGCUUCCGUAUCCUUUUACUCUUUAUGAAAAAUGUAAAAAUUGGCACUUUGAUUCAUCUCAUUUAUAGAUUCAUAUGCUUUAGGUAGAGGGCAUUUUUCUGGUGUUCUUCCAAUCACAACUGCCAAGGUGCCUAUUCUGAAAGUCGAUGAUUGCGGAACUGGUGUUGAAUAUGAUAUAUUAGUUGAAAAUGGGGAUCGAAUCUUGAAAUCCUAGAUGAUUAUUUUGAGAGGUUUAAAAAGCUAAGCUUCUUAGUAUCUUAUGCAUCUAUAUAUUUUGUCAUUCAACUUUUCAGCUUCAUUUGUCCAGGUUCUAUUUCAUCCUCCUUAUGCAUCUAUAUAUUUUGUCAUUCAACUUUUCAGCUUCAUUUGUCCAGGUUCUAUUUCAUCCUCUUAGUCCAACAUAGAAUUGUUUG
rnacentral:lncRNA from 1 species